rnacentral:misc_RNA from 1 species
GAUGAAGAACGUAGUGAAAUGCGAUAAGUAAUGUGAAUUGCAGAAUUCAGUGAAUCAUCGAAUCUUUGAACGCACAUUGCGCCCGCCAGUAUUCUGGCGGGCAUGCCUGUUCGAGCGUCAUUUCAACCAUCAAGCCCCCGGCUUGUGUUGGGGACCUGCGGCUGCCGCGGGCCCUGAAAAGCAGUGGCGGGCUCGCUGUCACACCGAGCGUAGUAGCAUACAUCUCGCUCUGGGCGUGCUGCGGGUUCCGGCCGUUAAACCACCUUCAUAACCCAAGGUUGACCUCGGAUCAGGUAGGAAGACCCGCUGAACUUAAGCAUAUCAAUAAGCGGAGGA